rnacentral:rRNA from 1 species
UACGGAGGGUGCAAGCGUUAUCCGGAUUCACUGGGUUUAAAGGGUGCGUAGGCGGGUAAGUAAGUCCGUGGUGAAAUCUCUGAGCUUAACUCAGAAACUGCCGUGGAUACUAUUUGCCUUGAAUAUUGUGGAGGUGAGCGGAGUAUGUCAUGUAGCGGUGAAAUGCUUAGAUAUGACAUAGAACACCAAUUGCGAAGGCAGCUCACUACACAAUCAUUGACGCUGAGGCACGAAAGCGUGGGGAUCAAACAGG